AUAUCAGUAAGCGGAGGAAAAGAAACUAACAAGGAUUGCCUCAGUAACGGCGAGUGAACAGGCAAAAGCUCAAAUUGUAAAUCUAUGGUUUCCGACUAUAGAAUUGUAAUCUAAAGAUUUUCGCAGAAGGAUAAAUUUUCGCAUAACGCCCUGAAAAGGGUGGUCAUAGAGGGUGAUAACCCCGUAGUUGGCGAAAAAUUUACCGUAUGCGGGGAUUCGAAGAGUCGGGUUGUUUGGGACUGCAGCCCUAAUUGGGAGAUAAACUUCUUCUAAGGCUAAAUAUUGAUGGGAGACCGAUAGCGCACAAGUA
rnacentral:rRNA from 1 species